rnacentral:rRNA from 1 species
AGAGUUUGAUCAUGGCUCAGAUUGAACGCUGGCGGCAGGCCUAACACAUGCAAGUCGAGCGGUAACACAGGGAGCUUGCUCCUGGGUGACGAGCGGCGGACGGGUGAGUAAUGUCUGGGAAACUGCCUGAUGGAGGGGGAUAACUACUGGAAACGGUAGCUAAUACCGCAUAAUGUCGCAAGACCAAAGAGGGGGACCUUCGGGCCUCUUGCCAUCAGAUGUGCCCAGAUGGGAUUAGCUAGUAGGUGAGGUAACGGCUCACCUAGGCGACGAUGCAUAGCCGACCUGAGAGGGUGAUCGGCCACACUGGAACUGAGACACGGUCCAGACUCCUACGGGAGUCAGCAGUGGGGAAUAUUGCACAAUGGGCGCAAGCCUGAUGCAGCCAUGCCGCGUGUAUGAAGAAGGCCUUCGGGUUGUAAAGUACUUUCAGCGAGGAGGAAGGCAUUAAGGUUAAUAACCUUGGUGAUUGACGUUACUCGCAGAAGAAGCACCGGCUAACUCCGUGCCAGCAGCCGCGGUAAUUC